AAACCCAGCAAGAAGAUCUUCCAUUAGGUGAAUUAAUGGUUCAUUUCCAUAACAAAAACGAUUGAAUAAAGCCAUAAUUUUCACGCGUCCGAGAAGUCCAACGCGAUUAGUUUUGUUUCGUAGAUGUAACGGGAUACCGUGUCAUGGAUUGCGAAAGUUAAGGGGAAAUAAAAAGUAAAACGAAAACGAAACACCGCGUGGGGCACGCAACGUGCGUUGGGAACGUGCUCUUGUAAACCGCGCGCGUUCUCGAUGCACUACGUGUGUUCACUGCGACCUGCGCAACAUGGAAAUUGCGAUCGAUCGAUCGACGAUGCGACGACGCGGUACGUUUCAGGUGGACAUUUAAUUACGAAGUUGCCGUCUGUCGAUGACAUCGUCCCGAUCGUGACGCAACCCUCGACGUAGAUCGGCCACGUUCAAAAGACCGGAGGGAGCACGAGUGGCUCGAAUGGAAUUGCGACUGGAGGGAAGCUUCGUCGCGCAUCAGGUUCAAAUAGGAAGCCUACCUAGAACGAUUCGAAAGAGAACAUUUAUGAACAUUUAUGAAUUUUUUUGGGACCCUUUAAAGUUAAUUUUUGAGGCAUGAGAAACGAUUGUGAUAGAAUAUAUAAGCAAAUUGAAGAAAUAAAAUGUAUACAUAUUCUUUAAUUAAUAAAUUGACACUCUUAUUAAACCGUAUAUAUUUUAAUUAAAGAGAUGAGAAACGAUUGUGAAA